rnacentral:rRNA from 1 species
CGGGGUGCACCAGGCGCGAAACCUUUGCCAUGCGCGAAAGCGUGACAGGGGAAUUCCGAGUGGUAGGGGGGUUUACCUCCCUAUCUUUUGGCCAAUCCAAACAAUUGGCAGAAUAAGAUCUGGGUAAGACCAGUGCCAGCCGCCGCGGUAAUACUGGCAGAGCAAGUGGUAUCCACGAAUAUUGGGUCUAAAGAGUCCGUAGCGGGCCUGUUAAGUCCACUGUGAAAUCUGGCGGCUCAACCGUCAGGCGUGCAGUGGAUACUGGCAGGCUUGGGAGUGGGGGAGGUCGGGAGUACUCACGGGGUAACGGUAAAAUGUUGUAAUCCUGUGAGGACUACCAGUGGCGAAGGCGCCCGACCAAAACACGUCCGACCGUGAGGGACGAAGGCUAGGAGAACGAAUCGGAUUAGAUACCCGAGUAGCCCUAGCAGUAAAUUAUGCAGACUGUGGUGUUGCGUCGACUUCGAGUCGGCGCAGUGCUGUAGCGUAGGUGUUAAGUCUGCCACCUGGGGAGUACGGCCGCAAGGUUGAAACUUAAAGGAAUUGGCGGGGGAGCACAAGGGCGAAUUCGCG